GCCUGGGUGGCUCAGUCGGUUGAGCGUCCGACUUCGGCUCAGGUCAUGAUCUCACCUUCGUGAGUUCGUGGGUUCGAGCCCCACAUCGGGCU
rnacentral:tRNA from 1 species